CCGCAUCUUCGCGGUGACAAGCCAGGGGACUUGUUUCAUCUGGUUGACAUCCUACGGUACGGGAGAUUACAAACGGAAUGCACAAACCAUCAUUUGCAUCCCUAAUGGUACUCCAUUAUUUUGCAGGGACCAGUCAUCCCCCGAUUAAAAUAAGAUCGCCGAUCUUGGAUGUGCAUUUGCAUCCGCGAUUCGGUCUAACACCUGGAACUUUGUAGAUGACUUUGGCAUAUUGGGAUCAACUAUCUUAGCAUUCGUUACCCAUGGUACCACUGAUGUGCAACAGUAAUCUACCACGAUCGGACCGUCACCAUCUACCCAGGUAUUCCAUUUUUUAACCCUCUCGCCUUCUCUUUCAUUGUUGUACUAGUAGUAUACUUUGUAGUACUAGUAGGAGUACUUUUUACCACAGAGGACGCGUAUAGCUAGCUAGGCCAUUGAAGACUUGAACCCACUAGCUGCCACCAUUUUUGUUUUUCCAUGUCUUACUAUCUCAUCCAUGUAGCCAAGAGUGGCUAUAUAUAAUAAGCCGGUUAUUUUACUUCCUCUAUACCAGAGUAGUACUAUUUGCUGCACAGUAUUACUGACCACCACAUUUGAGCACAACAUUAUUAUGCAUGGACCUUGACUAUGUACGUCACCAUGUCUCCAGAUCUGGGAUGCCGCGUGUACCAGAUGAACGGCGCCGAGUUCGACCCCCCUGAUGCUACAUGGGUGCCGACGAACACUCUUGGAGAGUACUCGCUCUUCAUCGGGGGCAUCUACCCCAUUGUGAAGCGGAUGCCACCUUCCGUGCAUGACACGGAAGGCCUGCCGUUCAUGAAGCAUGGUUGUGUCUUCAGUGCGCACAGCCGGAUGAACGACAUGCUGGGACACGCUAUCCCUGAUUUAUGCCCUUCAGCUUGGAUGAGUCUCCAUUGUGUGGAACCGGACUAGAAAGCUGCGACAAUGAUUCCCGUUGCCCACCGCUAUGGAUCAUGCCAUCCAUGAAGAACACCUGGGACUGGAACCUGGAGGAGGACAUGUAGCCCAUCUAUAACGUGUAUGUAGUCGUGCACAAAUUUAUCACAUGAGUUGGAGAUGAACUUGUGUGGCAUACUGUCAUUUGUCCUUUAGAAUUUAUUACUAGUAAAUGUGUUAUGUGUACGUGCAACUUGUGUGGUUGUUGCACGGGAUCCAACACGCUCUUUGAGAAAAAAGGUUGCACAACUUUGGAUAUACGUGACGUGGCGGCAUCAUACAGUAGCAUUGUUCUCUAUAGUUGUACUAGUACACUCCUACUAGGACGACAACUCCUAUAAAACCUUGCGCUUGGCUCUUUGCCUCUUCGGGAGGUUCAACAGUCCGUACUCGUGUGAACCUUGCACUUGGCUCUUCGCCUCUUCGGAAGGUCCAACAAUGAUGAUACUACAGUAUAAUAUGCUUCUGGCAAUCUGACACUGGUUGAACUGCUGCACGUCCACCGCGAGGGAGAGGUGAGGGCGAGGGAGCGGGAGAGGGUGCUGUAGUCAAAACCCUCUCCUCGUCUUGCGAACCACCGCGCGCGUGGGCGAGGGAGAGGCAUAGUAAGCAAACUUCUCCUUGUUCGGCGAGUUGACGGGACACAUCAAAGCAGCACUAGUACUAGUAGUAGUAGUCCAUACUGCGUCGUUUCCGAUUAAUAUGGCUUAAUUUGAAAUGAGAAAAAUACACCGGCGGUCAACGUAUGUAACAGUACGCUCUUUACGGUCACUAUAUAUAGUUUUGCGGCGAUUAUGCGAUCACUAGCUCAUCGUAGAGCACCGUAUUGCACCCUACUGACCGGCCACAUAGUCGACAUGGCACUUUGUUGACUGGUUAAAUUUUCACCUGGUUUCUGGGUCCCACCUGUCAGUUGGCAGAGCAAAGAAAUCAGUUAAACAAAACUUUUUGCAUGCGCGACAUGAGUCCAACCCUUGCGCGCGAACCACCCUGGCUGUGUAUGUGAGUGCAUGCACGUGUCUUCCCUCGGUCUUCCAACAAAGAGUGUACUACAUGAUGUACAUCUACAUUUCCAAUGUGUUUAGCCUUUAAUCUAAAUCGAUAUUGAUUGACUAAUGCACCAACUUGUGCUACAGGUAUAGGCUACAUGUCUAUCCUUAAUUACAGCAUGCAACGGCCUUCAUUUAAUCUUCUUAUCUCAAUGGUCGCAUGCACACAUAAGUCUGCUACUUUUGGGCGUUAAUUAUGCCAUAGUCAAUGUGUAAAUCUCUAAAUGUACAGUCUUUCACGGACGUAGGGAGUAGGUUGAGCACUUGAGCGUGAGCGUGUGUGUUGCGUCGUGUGUUGUGUGCCGCAUGGGUGCGUGAGUAUUGCGUGCGUCGAUGUGUAUGUGUGAGUGUUGCAUGUUGCAUGCAUGCAUGCAUGCAUGCAUGCAUGGGGCUUACACGCUCCCAUUGACAUGUCCAUUUGGCUAUAGAUUUUAACAAGUGACUAGGUACGGAGAAAAAUGAGCGAAGUGAGCGUAGAGGCAUAGGGAUACUGUAGAAAGGAAGUCCUCGCGAUCCAUUUAUUCCCCAUCUCGGUCAGAGAGAACUAUUCAACUAGUCUUCGCAGUGAAGUGACAAUACACACUGCAGUAGAUGGGACACGUAAUUAAUAAGCUGAACCAGCGUGUUGGUGUUACUAAAUCAGUCGGUUAUGUUUGGUAGUCUCAAGUCAUUGAAAGCAUGCACAACCCACAUAUCUUAUUGGUUGAUAUGCCAGAAAACAAAAAACGAGAAGGGAGUUAAUGUACGGUGCCUAAGUGUUUUGGGAUUAUUUGGUUUUCAAGGUGACUUACACACCUAGACGGAGGGAGUAGUAGAAUUGAGAUUGAAUGCACUUUCUUCCCCGUCUUCCACUCUUCUUCCUGCUCUCUUCUUCUUCCUCGUCUCUUCCCCAUCGUCGGCCGCACAUCAUUUACCCCUGCUCACUGCUCGCCUGCCCGCGCCAUCUUCCUUGGUAGCUCGCGCGUACCAUAUCCCCCCGCUCACUGCUCGGCCACACGAGGAGAAACUUCUUCGCUCGCCAGCGUUAGUUAUAUUUUGUCUUACAACAUCCGCAGGCAGUUUUUUUACUGAAUCAAACACACAGCCCAGUUCUAUUUUCAUCUUGAACCUACAUCCGUUUUCUAAUCUCUACCUAUAGAUUUACUAGUUCAUAUACACGUAUCAUUAUAUUGAAAACACGUAAAAUUCCCUUUUCAUAUUUACAUCCUUAUUCUUGUUGUUUUUUCCCACCCAGUGCUGAUUUUUUUACUACUGGUUUUCCCUUAAACCAACUAAAUCGUCCCAUGUUUUAUUUGCUUACAAAAACAAAACAAUUUUUUUGGCAAAUCAAUAAGUUCUUAAAAAAUGUUUAUCCUUUCAGGAUUACAACAGUUCGGACUCCACCGAAAUAUGCAAAAUAAGGUUGGACUUUUUGACCGUGGUCCUGGGCAGAAAAUGGGCUGUAAUAAAUUACUUAAGAAUUAGCAAAUGGGCUGCAAAUUAUAAAAAAUAGGAAAUGGGCUUUAUGUUGUCUGCCACAGAUUUGGAGGCUGAUUUGUGGGCCUACUAAGUUCAUGCGUACACAAGGUUUCUCAAAAAAGAAACUUAUUCAACAAUCAACUCUACCAGCGUUAGACCAUUAGAUGUCAAUCUAAUGGCAAUCGUGCUUCUUCAGUCUCUGAUCUUCCUGCCCCAGCCGCCUAAACCAGCGCCGUCAGAACCGCCUGCUCCCGCCUCCCGUGGCCGGUAGUGCUGCCGGGAAGGCCUCACGGCCCCAUCAUACUCGCAUCCCUGGCCUGUCUAUCCCUCUACUCACCCACACCUCCUGUUAUUUUCAGGCGACGGCAGCCGAACCAGUCAACCCUCGUACUCUCCACCGUGUGGGCAGCCACUGCCGUGUCUUCCCCGGCUCCGUGUCGUUCCCUUCGCAGGCCUCACCGUCGUCCACCGCCCAGGUGCUCUCGACGCGGCGUGGUCAACGAUGUCCAUCCAACGGCCGUAGUGCUUCUUCAACUGUCACAUCCCUACCUUUACCUUGACCUAGACUAGCUAGUCAUGUGUGCAUCAUGUUUAAAUUUCAUGAAUUUUAAUUGGGGACUGUUGAAACCCUAGCACAGAUGAAUCCAACUAGGUUCAAAUAAAAAAAUCAUUUUCAAUGAACCCAAAAUUCCUUUGGAAAAGUUCAUCAUUUUUGAAUUGAUCUAGAACCUCUGCCAAAAAUGGUGCACAUUUUCCUAGGUCACUUUGGAUUUUUGAAUGAAUUCAUAAAUUAUUUGAAUUUGGGCAUUUAAUUGCUAUAAAUAAUUAAAAUGCCCAAAUAAUUCUGAAAGUGGUUGAGGGCUAUUGGAAAUAUUUUCAAAAGUGCCCACAAUUAUUUUCAGGGUUUUUGAAAAUGCCUUAGCAUUUUACUUAAGUCAAAACAAUUACGGAAAAAUAGAAAGCAGAAACAAACAAAAUAGAAGAGAGAGAGAGAGAGAGUUUACCUGGCAGCCACUUACCUGGCCCAACUCCUCUAGCCGGCCAAGCCCACCUGGUGACUCGCUAGUCGUCCUCAACCUCUGCUAGUAGGCAGAGGCGAAGGCGGGCAUGGUGUGCGUUGAGGCCGCCACCUCCUCCCUGCCUGCCUCACGCCCCCGUGGCCUUCUCGCGACGCCCAGGAGACGUGGACGAAGCCCCGCACCAAUCCCCUCCUCUGGUUCCCUCUCCCUCGCUGUUCCCCACCUCACCAAACCGCGCCGCCGCCACUGACGAGCUCCACCACGGCCACAACCACUCCCUCGCUCCCUCUUCGCUUCCCCAAGCUCCGCCACGACCCCGUGGGGCAACACACCCGACGCACGCGACCAGAAGAGGCCCCAGUUGACCAGAGCAUCGUCGUCUUCACCUCCGGUGCCUGGAGAUCGACUCCGUCAAUUCGCCUCGUCCAGAGCGUCCCCGAGGCCGCUAACCUACCCUGCCGCAUCGCCGUGAGCUCCUCUACUUUUACCCCUACCUCCAAGCUCUAGCUCGUCCCAUAGCUGUUGCACACCGAGCUCCCGCGCCGCCGUCCGCCAUGGCCGACGGCCGCGUCGUCGCCGAGCUCCCCUAGUCGCUCUGUGCUGCCUAGAGUCCCUCGCUAGCCAGCUGCAACGCUGCGCCCGCUGGAGGCCGAACUUCGGCCGCCGCCUCCAUCGUCGCUGCCGUCUCUAUAGGCCACCCCAGCUCUUGACGAUUGCCCCAGAAGAUGCGCCACACCCCCAGCUCGCUGUAGCCGCAAACCACGCGCGAAACGGUGCUCUGUAGCACCGUUCCGAGCAACUCCGGCGUGCCACCGCCGUGCGUUUGGUCGCCGGCGUUUUGCUGACGUGGCGCUAGUUUAGUUCCCACUAAUGACCUGGCUAAACACCCUAGAGCCACUGCCAUGUGGGGCCACGUGCCUGUUUAGGUUAAUUUAAUUUCUAUUUAGAUUAGUUCAUAACCCAGUGGGACCCACUUGUCAGCAUUGACUUUGCUGACAUGGCUUUUGACCGAUCCCAGCUGUUUGUGACUCGAGCCAGCACUGUGAGACUGACGUGUGGGACCCACGGGUCAGGUUUGACCAUGGUCAGCCCCUGUUGACCUGAUGAUGUCACGCCGACAUCAUGCUGACGCAGUAAUGUUUUUCUAGAUUUUAAAUAAAUCUAAAUGAUUUAUUUAUAUUCAGAAAAUGUUUAAAACUUCUAAAAAUCAUAUAAAAUCAACCGUAGCUCAGAAUUAAAUAAAUUAUAUAUGAAAUAUUAUCAGAAAAUCCAAUCUAUCCAUCUGUACCAUUUUCAUGCAUGUUAGAACAACUUAAGGCCACUGUUUAGGACAAAUCAAAUGAAUGACAUUUAAAUAACCACAUGUGGAGUUUGAAUUUGAACUUUGGGUUCAAACCAACUUCAUUUAAUUGUGUUGCUAGUUGCAUUAGCUCAAUCAACAACAUAUUGCCAUGACAUUAUCAUGCAUCAUGUUGUGCAUUGCAUUGAUUGUGUUCCUUCUCUGUUUCCGGUGGUUGUCCCCUCUCGAUAGACAUUGUACCGACGCUGUGAUCGUUGACACUGAUGAAGACCCAAUGAUAUCUUCAAAAGUGCCAGGCAAGCAAAAUCCACUUGUUCAUUUCGAUACAAUCCCACUCUCUUGCUCUUGCUCUUUUUACUGCAUUAGGACAACAAUGAUUCAACUGUUACAUGUUGCGGUAGUUGAACCCCUUUCCUCUGCAUGACCUAUCAUUGCCACAAUAAAAUAGAUGAAACCCACUAGCAUGAGUAGGAGUUGUUUGAGCCCUGAUGUGCCUACUUAUUCAUGCUUGUUGUCAUGCCUGCUACUGCUUAGAGUUGAGUCCGGUCUGAUUCAUUGGGAAUGAAUUGGAACAUGGUGAACAUGUCCUACCGUUGAGAGCUAAGUGUGUGAACACGAUUUGGUAAAGGUAGCGGUGAGAGGCCAUGUAGGAGUACAUGGUGUGUUGUCUCAUUGCAGCCGUUCUCAGGAACUGAGUUCUGUGUUUGUGAUCCAUGAACAGUUACUACCACACAUUGGGUUCUGGUAACUCGUCCCCUCUCGGCUUAUUAAUCAACUCGAUCUCUGUCCAGGAGUUGCAACUAGUUUCUGGUGUUUCUAGGUAGUGUUAGUAGUCUACCAAGUGGCACCCGGUACAUGUGGGCUUGCGACAGACUAGGCACAGUGGCACGGUGUACCAAGUUGCACCCGAAUUGUGGGCUUGGAAACCCUGCACACAUCGUUUGGGGCCGUGGGCGACACCCCAGCCAGAUCUCCUUGCGUAUGGAACCCGAAUAGGCGAUAAACCUGGACGAGAGACUUGGGUGGUUAGUCAGGUCAUGGCCGACACCCUCGCCCGGCUUCCGCUUGAAGGAUGCCGAGGUACAUGACGUGUACAGGGCGAUAAGUGGAGAGAGCGUGUGUGAAGAAGUAACCCCUGCAGUGUUAUCACUAACUAUUCGAAUAGCCGAAUUCCUCGGAUAUGGAAACUUGGACCCCUUGCAUAGUUCAUAGACAAGUGAAAGUGGAUACUCUAAAAUGCGCAAGAUAAGCGUGAGUGCUAUGGAUGGCGUUCUCGUGGGAAGACGGGAGCGGAUCCAUAGUGGUGUAUUGAUAUGGUGAAUAUGUGGACUCGUGUGCGCCACCUCAAAAAAGUUGCUUGCAGUCGUAGUUCAGGUUAGCCACUGAGUCAAAGCUGGCUUGCUGCAGUUGAAAUCCACCAUCCCUUCGUUGAUAAUGAUGCAUAUGUAGUUAGUUCUGAUGUAAGUCUUGCUGAGUACAUUUGUACUCACGUUUGCUUAAUUUAUGUUUUUGCAGAGAGAUUUCAGUCUCGCUAGUAGUUCCGCGUGGACUUCGACGUUUAGCUUGUUACCUCAGCUACGAUCUUGUACCUUGGGAGGGUCUUGUAGAUAGUCAGGCUUCUCAGCCUUCUUCAGUUGUAGUUGUCUAUACUCAGACAAGUUAAGCUUCCGCAUGUGCUUGUUGCUUGUAUGCUCUGUAUGUUGGGUCAUGAGACCCAUGUUUGUAAUAUCUCGCUCCUCAGAGCCUAAUGAAUAAAUACUUUGAGUCAUAGAGUUAUGUUGUGAUGCCAUGUUGUAUUUACACAUAUUGUGUUUAUGAUUGAAAUGCUUGGUAUGUGUGGGAUUCGACAACCUAGUUGUUUAUCCUUGGUAGCCUCUCUUAUGGGGAAAUGUAGUCUUGUGCUUCCAUGAGCCAUAGUAGUCCUCUAUAGCCCGGUUCACCGGAGUCCUGCUAGCCCAGCACUACUGCUCCGGAACACUUGACUGGCCGACAUGUGAUUCACUUCAUUCCCGUGUCUAUCCUUUCGAGGAAAUGUCACGCAGUGACAUCCGGAGUCCUGCCUAGGCUGCUACAGCCCGGGUUCCUGGAGGCCUGUUAGCCCAGUGCUACAGGCCGGAUUCACACGCUGCUGACCGACAUGCUCGAUGUUGAUUCAUGUAUGCCUGUCCCCGUAAGUUAGUGCCACUUUGGGUUCACGACUAGUCAUGUUGGCUCGGGUUCUCUGUCAUAUUGAUGCUAGCGACACUAUCAUAUACGUGAGACAAAAGGCGCAAAUGGGCCCGGGCCAUGGUAAGGCGACACCCGUGGGAAUACCGUGCGUGAGGCCGCAAAGUGAUAUGAGGUGUUACAGGCUAGAUCGGUGUGACUUAGAAUCAGGUUCCUGACAUCAAACUCUGGUCUUCUUGCCCCAGUCGCCCAAAGCAGCGCCGGUCGUGCCGCAUGCUCCUGACUCCCGUGGCCGGCUGUGCUGUCGUGGAGGCGUCACCGUCCCCAUACUACUCCCACUGCUGGCCAGGCCAUCCCUUCACUCACCCACUCCCCCUGUUAUUCUACGGUGACGACACCCUCACACCGCAGCCGAACCAGUGAACCCUCGUACUCCUCUCCGCGUGGGCAUCCACUGCCGCGUCUUCCCCGGCUCCGCGUCGUCCCCUUCCUAGGCCUCGCCGUCGUCCAUCGCCGUGGUGCUCUCAGCGCGGCGUGGUCAAUGUGGUCAACGACCGACUUCCAUCAGAAGAGUACUGUAUGUGUAGAGGCUGACAGCUGGGUCCACGGCAGCCGCAAGGAAGUGCCUGCUUAUUACGCGCAAAAAUAAUUAUUCCUCCACCUGACAGCAGGGACCCACCGGACGGGCCACCGGUAUUUCGCGAAAAAAAUGUUUCCCCCUGACUGCUGGGACCCACCGGACGGGCCACCAUAUUUCGUGAAAAAAGGUUUGCCCCUGACUGCUGGGACCCACCGGACGGACCACAAUAUUUUGCGAAAAAACGUUCCCCUCCUGUCAGCUCGGACACACCGGAAGUGCCUCCUUAUUGCGCACAGAAAAAUGAAUACUCCCCUGCUAGCUGGGACCCAACCUGGUGUGAGGCUGACUUGUGGCCCUACUACGUUGACGAGGAUGGAGGGCUUUGUCAACUUAGUCAAUAUAAACGAUUCUAGCUCCAGUGACCGUACAAUGUCCAUCCAACGGCCGUAGUGCUUCUUCAACCUCUGGUCUUCUUGCUCCAGCCGCCCAAAGCUGCGGCGGUCGUGCCGCGUGUUCCUGCCUCUCAUGGUCGGCUGUGAUGCUGCGGAGGCCUCACCGCCCCCUACUACUCCCAUCGCUGGCCCAUGCUAUCCCUCUACUCACCCACACCCCCUGUUAUUCUGCGACGACGACAGCCUCACGUCACAGCCGAACCAAUGAACCCUCGUACUCCUCUCCGCGUGGGCAUCCAUUUCAGCGUCUUCCCCGGCUCCGCGUCGUCCCCUUCCUAGGCCUCGCCGUCAUCCACCGCCUUGGUGCUCUCGGCGCAGCGUGGUCAAUGUGGUCAACGACCUACUUCCAUCGGAGGAGUAUUGUACGUGGAGAGGCUGACAGCUGGGUCCACGGCCACAACCCACUUUUUAUGUGAUUUUCCAAGUAAGUCGCUUUGUCAUGCCUGUUGGGCCGCAAAUCUUUCAAGACGAGGAGAGCUUCAUUCGGCUGGCCGAGAAAAUGGCCCAUCAGUAAUGAGAAAUGGGCUGUACAUUUUUAAAACACAUCAAACCGACAAUUAGUUUAAAAUAUCUUUUUUUUCAUUUCGAGAUUUUAAAUUACAUUAAUUUUUGUGCGUGGAGAAUUUGUUGGAUUUUAUAUUGGUAUAAUUUUAUUUUUAAAAUCAGUUUGAAUGUGAGUCGAAAUUUUGGAAUUAAAAACAGUUCAGACCGCACCGAAAUAUGCAAAAUUUCGUUAAUUUUUUAACCGUGGCCACAAUAUGGGAUGUAAUGCUAACAAAAAGAAUAUGGGCUCCAAAAAACCUUAAGAAUUAGCAAAUGGGCCGUAAAUUAUUAGAAAUAAUGGCAGAUGGGAUGUAUGCUGUUUUCCACAGAUUUGAGGCUUUCCUAAAAAAAAGGUUGACGCACAAACACUGACUGUUGGAUGUCCAUCCAACGGCCGUCGUGCUUCUUCAAUCUCUGCUCUUCCUGCUCCAGCCGCUCAAACAAGCACCGGCGGGACUACCUGCUACCUCCUCCUCGUGGCCGGCUGUGCUGCCGCACAGGCCUCACCGCCCGACCGUACUCCCAUCGCCGGUUUGAUGUACUCCCCUCUGCAUGGGAAACAACUGCCGAGUCUUCCCUGCCUCUGUGUCGUCCCCUUCCUAGGCCUCGCCAUCGUCCACCGCCCUAGUGCUCUCGGCGCGGCCUGGUCAACAUGGUCAACGACCGAUAUGCAUCUGAAGUGGACUGUACAUGGAGAGGCCGACAGCUGGGUCCAUGGCUGCACGCAAGGAAAUGCCUCCUUAUUACGCGCAAAAUAAUGAUUCCUCCCUUGACAUUAGGGACCCACCAAAAGGGCAUCUGUAUUUCGCGAAAAAAUGUUACCGCCGCUGACAGCUCGGACCCACCAGCUAUAUCUUCGCACGCAAGGAAGUGCCUCCUUAUUACGCUCCAAAAAAUGAAUACCCCCCUGCUAGCCGGGACCCACCUUGGUGGGAGGCUGACUUGUGGGCCUAUUAAGUUGACGGGUAUGGAGGGCUUUGUCAACUUAGUCAAUAUGCACGAUUCUAGCUCCAGUGACCGUACGAUGUCCAUCCAAAGGCCGUAGUGCUUCUUCAACCUCUGGUCUUCUUACUCCAGCCGCCCAAACCAGCGCCGGUCGUGCCUCGUGGCUGGCUGCGAUGCGCCGAAGGCCUCACCGCCCCCUACUACUCCCACCGCUGGCCAGGCCAUCCCUCUACUCACCCAUACCCCCUGUUAUUCUGUGGCGACCAGUGAACCCUUGUACUCCUCUACGCGUCAUCCACUGCCGCGUCUUCCCUGGCUCCGCGUCGUCCCCUUCCCAGGCCUCACCGUUGUCCAUCGCCCUGGAGCUCUCGGUGCGGCGUGGUCAACAUGGUCAAGGAACAGCUUCCAUCGGACGUGGACUGUACGUGGAGAGGCUGAUAGCUCGGUCCACGGCCGCAGCAAGGAAGUGCCUCCUUAUUACGUGCAAAAUAAUUAUUCCUCCGCCUAACAACGGGACCCACUGGACGGGCCAUAGUAUUUCGCGAAAAAACGUUUCCCCUUGACUGCUGGGACCCACCAGCUACAUCUUCGCAGGCAAGGAAGUGCCUGACAGUCGGGACCCACCUGGUUGAAGCGUACGUAGCAUUGUCAUUCUGGUCGCGAACGUGUAUGUACAUACUGGUCGAUGUAGAGGCGCGCAUGUGUCGUAGUAGAGGCACGCACGUAGCAUUUACACGUACGUACAGCGGCUAGGGUGCAAGAAAGAAAAUACGGCCAUGUAUGUGUACAUACGGGCGGGGUCUCGAACGCCUACUCGCGCAUACGUACGGCUAGGGCUUGUGUACAUGGCUGGGUCGGAACGGAGAAACAACGUCAUCGUCGUGUUCAUGGGGAGGCAACGGAAUGCGUCGUGUUCAUCUGGAGGCAACGGAAUGCGUCGUGUUCAUCGAGAGGGCUUGGACGGAACAGGCGAUGGAAACGAGGCCCAGCGUACCGCAGAACGGAGGAAACGGCCUUGUGUUCGACCAGCCACGUUCGAAACAGGAUCUUGUUGAUCGGGAGGGGUCUGGCAUACCGCAAAACGGAGGAAACGGACCUCCUAUGGUCGAAACGAGGGUCUUGUUGAUCGGGAGGGGUGUGGCAUACCACAAAACGGAGGAAACGGACUUGCGUUGGAGCGCUACGGUCGAAACGGGGGUCCUGUUUAUCAGGAGGGGUGUGGCGUACCGCAAAACGGGACUCCACAGGAUACUGUUCAUCUCCACCGUCGACCCCCUCCAGCCUCCACGAGCUACUGUUCAUCCACCGUCGACCUCCUCCAGCCUCCACCUGCGACUGUUCAUCCACGAGCUCCUGUUCAUCCAGCCUCCACCACGCGCUACUCCACCGGCUACUGUUCAACCAGCCCUCUCCACGGGCUCCUGUUCAACCACCCCUCCACGGGCUACUGUCCAUCCUGCCCACCACCAUCUACUGUUCAUCCUGCCCUCCAUGGGGUGGUCCUGUUCAUCCAGCCCUCCACGGGGUCCUGUUCAUCUAGCCCCAACCGGCUCGAUCGAUCGGCGUCCUGUUCAUCCGGAGGCAACACCACGGGGUCCUGUUCAUCCACCCCCCCCGGGAACUGUUCAUCCAACCCCCACCCCCCGCCCCCCGCGCAACGCUCACUGUUCAUCCCGAGGAAGCAUCGAUCGGCUUCAGUUAGCAGCAGUAGCGAAGGAAUCGCUCGAUCGGUUUCAGUUAACAGCCAUCGAUCGAUCGCUCAGGUUCAGUAACGAGUAUCCUGCAGUGCAAUUGCUCAGGUUCAGUUAGAGCCCAACGCCUCGCUCAGGUUCAGUUAGAGCCAACGCCUCGCACACACGCGCGUACGUGUACGAGAGAAACGCGCAUCGCUCGGCCCUCGACCUCCCACCGUAACCGGGAACUCCCCGAAAUUUUCCUCCCCCUCGCUUCUACCAUGGUUUUUUCUGUCAUGGACGGCCCAAAGAAUGUCAUGCAGCUGCGUCUACGGCCCGCCCAGGACGAAAAGCCCAUUUUCUGUCAUGAUUUUUUGUCAUAGAAGUAGGAGCCCACUACAUCUAUGAUGAUACCAGGUUUUGUCACAAUUAUCGUCAUAGAAGUGUCAUAUGUAUGUUAGAAAAAAAUUUCGUUCGGCCCAAAAUGUCACGGAUGUGUCUUUUUUUGUAGUGACCAUUGGUUCACUGCUUGUUUGUCUCCUAUGCAGAGCGUGAGAAGGAUGUGAUAACUGUGCCUUAUGGGUUGUAGUUUGCAGUACUACUACCUGGUACUAAUUUUUUUUCAUUUUCGCUGCGAGGCUACCGCCCAGGUUCGCCCCUGUGAAGCUCUGCCGUUGCAUGCUAGUACUUUGGAUCCUAUGUCAACUAGAUUGUUGAUUGUUUGUGUGGGCAAUGCAACCAAAGUUUUUGAUAGGUAUUCUAUAUCCUAUCUUUUCAGGGAAAUUGCGAUGGUUACUGGAACAAUCUUCCUUCUAAUGAUCCCAUUUUGUUAACUUAAAACAUAUUUGUUAACUUAAAACAUAUUUCCUGACUAAAUGUUUUUGUGAUUUAAAGGUACCGAGUUGGUGUUUCUAGCUUGGAGAAGCAACAUCAACUUGGGAUACAGAUUCACCAGCAUAUGUACAUGCAUCUCAUCGGGGGAGAGCUCUUGCAUGGAUGUAAGACCAUUUUCCUUCAGCGAGUUAUAGAUUUUAGAGUGAUGAUUUGCUUAAAUUCGUUUCCAUUCAUAAAAUCAACAUCCAAUGAAAUAUGAGCAAAUUAUUUUACCUCUAUUAUUGUAAUUGGGAGCUAUGACAACCACAUCAAUAGAGUUAGUGUAUUUUGAUUGAUUAGUUUCUUCUGCUAUUUUCUGCGGCUCAAAUUCAGCUGAAGCUUUACAUAACUAGGGGAACACUAAUCCAUAGAGCAAUCCUUUCCUUUGCUUCGUUUUUCCUGUAGAAUAGAGUAAGCAUGAUCUGAGUAGUGUGUACACAACACAUCGCUUAACUGGCCAUGUACGUAAUAAAUCUAUUUGAGACACGGCUAACAAGUUGAUUUACAUGAGCAUGCACAUGUAUGUUUUCACAACCGGGACCUUGUCUUGCAGAUCCUUGAAAAGAGCCAAGAACCACUAAAUUUGUGUGCUUGGCAACAUGCAGAUCAUGUAACUUUUCUGAAAUUAACUUCAGAUUAUACAAACUUUGUAUGUUCCUGCAAUUCUGAUGUUCAAAUGCCUGCUUUUGCGAUGAGAAAAUCUUUAUGUGUGCUGGUAUGUAUGGUUCUGCUGCUUCGGUGCGAAGCAUGAUCAUAUUAUUGCCAGGGCUAUGUGUGCUGUGGGGAGGGAUUGCAUUCUCUUGUCCUGUCCAUAUUGUGCACAUUAUAAUUAUGCUUCCAAAAUUCUACCAGAAUACCCACCUUAUAACUACGUGCUAAACUGCUUGUCAUCAUAAUUUCAGGACCAUAAUGUCACUCUGGAUGCUUCUCCACAAGAUUUGAUUCUGGAGGCUGACACUGGUGUUGCAGGGAUGUUUUGAUUUUUAUUGAUAAUGCAUCUGGAACUACCUCAACUUGUCACUCGUUGGAAGUGAACCUCUUGAUAGUUAAUGAUGUCGGGUGCAUGUAUAGAUAGCAUGUUGUAACAAGUUUAUUUGAUACUCGCCGUGACCAACAAUGCUUGUACAUGUUGGUCAUGGUGUUCUAGUUGCAACGACUAACUUGUCAUAGCUUAUUUUUUGAAUUUGGCCUUUAGUUUACUACAUAUCUGAUGUAUGUGUUCAUUGAUUAUGAAUCUGAUGUGGUGUAUGAUGAAUUUUGGAUGUGAUUUACAAAUUUGAAAUUUUGUUCUGAUUUAAUUAUUCGAAUUAUGGUUGAUAUGAAUUUAUAUUCAAAU
rnacentral:lncRNA from 1 species